rnacentral:rRNA from 1 species
UACGGAGGAUCCAAGCGUUAUCCGGAAUCAUUGGGUUUAAAGGGUCCGUAGGCGGCUUUAUAAGUCAGUGGUGAAAUCCGGCAGCUCAACUGUCGAACUGCCAUUGAUACUGUAGAGCUUGAAUUAUUAUGAAGUAACUAGAAUAUGUAGUGUAGCGGUGAAAUGCUUAGAUAUUACAUGGAAUACCAAUUGCGAAGGCAGGUUACUAAUAAUACAUUGACGCUGAUGGA